GGUGGAGUAGCUUAGUGGUUUAAGCAUCGGACUGUAGACCACAUGGUUGCUGGGUUGAAUCCCAUGCCACCA